AGGCCUUGACAUCCUUGGAAUUCUGCAGAGAUGCGGAAGUGCCUUCGGGAAUCAAGUGACAGGUGCUGCAUGGCUGUCGACAGCUCGUGUCGUGAGAUGUUGGGUUAAGUCCCGUAACGAGCGCAACCCUUGUCCUUUGUUGCCAGCACGUAAAGGUGGGAACUCAAAGGAGACUGCCGGUGACAAACCGGAGGAAGGUGGGGACGACGUCAAGUCAUCAUGGCCCUUACGGCCUGGGCUACACACGUGCUACAAUGGUCGGUACAGAGGGUUGCCAAGCCGCGAGGUGGAGCUAAUCCCAGAAAACCGGUCGUAGUCCGGAUCGCAGUCUGCAACUCGACUGCGUGAAGUCGGAAUCGCUAGUAAUCGCGAAUCAGAAUGUCGCGGUGAAUACGUUCCCGGGCCUUGUACACACCGCCCGUCACACCAUGGGAGUGGGUUGCAAAAGAAGUGGCUAGUCUAACCUUCGGGAGGGCGGUCACCACUUUGUGAUUCAUGACUGGGGUGAAGUCGUAACAAGGUAAGCGUAGUGCU
rnacentral:rRNA from 1 species